AUCCUCAACCUGGCAACUGCCGCGAGCACCACCAUCACAGACAACCCAAAUCUGCCUCUAUUCUUCACUCUCUAUCGCGGCAAACACCCCUUUCAACAGCCGCAAGCAUCCCCUUCCUUUGACACAACCACCGCAAAUCCCAGUUUUUUGACAGGUUAAAAACCCUUUCCUCCUUUAUCUGCUUUUUUUCUACUUUUCUGAACACAGACCCGUAAGUGAAAACUUUUCGACAUCUAAUUUCACUUUUCUGCACCAAUUCAAGUUAGGAGUAUACUUUACAUCACUUUUCUGGCCAAUUGCUCCAUAUAUAAGGCCCUCCAAUUCAGAUUUUUUGUGGCAAAAUACGAAAGCACCACCGGCAGGGAGGAACAAGAAGAGGAAGUAGUCGCUCUAAUCGAACACCGCACCCAUGAAGUCGAAAACAUCCACAAACGCAUCGCUUAUUACCAAUCUCAGCUUGAGGAGGCAGAGAAAAGGUUGCAGGAUUCUGAAUCAAACCAGCCAAUGCAGUUUCGUCUAGGAAAAAUAACAGCUUGGAUAAUGGGAUUAAACCGGUGAAGAUGGACUGGCGAUCAAGCAGUCCUGUUGAUAGGAAUGAAGUUUUUUUCCAUGUGAUACUAAUUUAGUUUUAAUGAAGUUCGAAAAAUGUGCUAAAGUUUUGGAACAUGUUGUCAGUCCUCGAGGUGCUAAUUGGAUGCACAUUUUAUAUCAGGUUUGCCUCUUACCUCUUUCCUGAACACAUUUUAUAUAGUUGCAUAUGUAUAAAACUAUAAAAUCAAUUUGAAGCUUAGUCUUUUCAACAACAUCUUUCAAAUUUAUCUCUUAUAUUCUAUGCUCUGUUUAUUUGAUUCAUUGACUUCAUUCAUUAUAUUUGAUUCAGAGGAAUGUAAUUUUUCAUACAAGUUGCAGGCAUAUAUCCAACCACUAUAGUGCUACUUAAAUAAUCUUAUUUAUCAUGCAUAAAACUAUAAUUUUUACUUCAGCCUCAUCUUUCUGUAUUGCAGGUUGACGUGCUACCAUUUUGCCCUGGUGAAUUUUGAGAUACUCUUUCAAGAAGUACUGAUGUAUCUUAAUGAUGCUUCUCCUUAUGUCUGUCUAAUUGGCCAAUUGUUGUCUUUAUUACUUUGAAUAUCAUUUCCUUCAUUACUAAAUGAUUUAGAAAU